GAUGAACGCUGGCGGCGUGCCUAAUACAUGCAAGUCGAGCGAACGGACGAGAAGCUUGCUUCUCUGAUGUUAGCGGCGGACGGGUGAGUAACACGUGGAUAACCUACCUAUAAGACUGGGAUAACUUCGGGAAACCGGAGCUAAUACCGGAUGAUAUUUUGAACCGCAUGGUUCAAAAGUGAAAGACGGUCUUGCUGUCACUUAUAGAUGGAUCCGCGCUGCAUUAGCUAGUUGGUAAGGUAACGGCUUACCAAGGCAACGAUGCAUAGCCGACCUGAGAGGGUGAUCGGCCACGCUGGAACUGAGACACGGUCCAGACUCCUACGGGAGGCAGCAGUAGGGAAUCUUCCGAAAUGGGCGGAAGCCUGACGGAGCAGCGCCGCGUGAGUGAUGAAGGUCUUCGGAUCGUAUAACUCUGUUAUUAGGGAAGAACAUAUGUGUAAGUAACUGUGCACAUCUUGACGGUACCUAAUCAGAAAGCCACGGCUAACUACGUG
rnacentral:rRNA from 1 species